UGGGGAAGUAUUGGGCAAUGGGCGCAAGCCUGACCCAGCAACGCCGCGUGAAGGAAGAAGGCUUUCGGGUUGUAAACUUCUUUUGUCAGGGACGAGUAGAAGACGGGUACCUGACGAAUAAGCCACGGCUAACUACGUGCCAGCAGCCGCGGUAAUACGUAGGUGGCAAGCGUUGUCCGGAUUUACUGGGUGUAAAGGGCGUGUAGCCGGGAGGGCAAGUCAGAUGUGGAAAUCCACGGGCUCAACUCGUGAACUGCAUUUGAAACUACUCUUACUUGAGUAUCGGAGAGGCAAUCGGAAAUUCCUAGUGUAGCGGUGAAAUGCGUAGAUAUUAGGAGGAACACCAGUGGC
rnacentral:rRNA from 1 species